GAUUUUAGCCAUGCUAGUUGCACGAGUUCAUACUCGUGGCGAAAAGCUCAGUAACACGUGGCCAAACUACCCUACAGAGAACGAUAACCUCGGGAAACUGAGGCUAAUAGUUCAUACGGGAGUCAUGCUGGAAUGCCGACUCCCCGAAACGCUCAGGCGCUGUAGGAUGUGGCUGCGGCCGAUUAGGUAGACGGUGGGGUAACGGCCCACCGUGCCGAUAAUCGGUACGGGUUGUGAGAGCAAGAGCCCGGAGACGGAAUCUGAGACAAGAUUCCGGGCCCUACGGGGCGCAGCAGGCGCGAAACCUUUACACUGCACGCAAGUGCGAUAAGGGGACCCCAAGUGCGAGGGCAUAUAGUCCUCGCUUUUCUCGACUGUAAGGCGGUCGAGGAAUAAGAGCUGGGCAAGACCGAAAAACAGCAGCCGCGGUAAUACCGGCAGCUCAAGUGAUGACCGAUAUUAUUGGGCCUAAAGCGUCCGUAGCCGGCCACGAAGGUUCAUCGGGAAAUCCGCCAGCUCAACUGGCGGGCGUCCGGUGAAAACCACGUGGCUUGGGACCGGAAGGCUCGAGGGGUACGUCCGGGGUAGGAGUGAAAUCCCGUAAUCCUGGACGGACCACCGAUGGCGAAAGCACCUCGAGAAGACGGAUCCGACGGUGAGGGACGAAAGCUAGGGUCUCGAACCGGAUUAGAUACCCGGGUAGUCCUAGCUGUAAACGAUGCUC
rnacentral:rRNA from 1 species